rnacentral:rRNA from 1 species
GACGAACGCUGGCGGCGCGCCUAACACAUGCAAGUCGAACGGAGCGUGCCGAGCGGAAGCCUUCGGGUGGAAGCAUGGCAUUGCUUAGUGGCGAACGGGUGAGUAACACGUGAGCAACCUGCCUUAAAGUGGGGGACAACAUUUGGAAACGAAUGCUAAUACCGCAUAAGACCACGGAGUCGCAUGGCUCUGAGGCCAAAGGAGCAAUCCGCUUUAAGAUGGGCUCGCGUCCGAUUAGGUAGUUGGUGGGGUAAUGGCUCACCAAGCCAACGAUCGGUAGCCGGACUGAGAGGUUGAUCGGCCACAUUGGGACUGAGACACGGCCCAGACUCCUACUGGAGGCAGCAGUGGGGAAUAUUGCGCAAUGGGGGAAACCCUGACGCAGCAACGCCGCGUGAUUGAAGAAGGCCUUCGGGUUGUAAAGAUCUUUAAUCAGGGACGAAGGAAGUGACGGUACCUGAAGAAUAAGCUCCGGCUAACUACGUGCCAGCAGCCGCCGUAAAAC